UACGUAGGCAGCAAACGUUGUUCGGAAUUACUGGGCGUAAAGAGUGUGUAGGCGGUUUCGCAAGUUUGGUGUGAAAUCUCCCGGCUUAACUGGGAGGGUGCGCCGAAAACUGCGGGGCUUGAGUGCUGGAGAGGAUAGCGGAAUUCCUGGUGUAGCGGUGAAAUGCGUAGAUAUCAAGAGGAACACCGGUGGCGAAGGCGGCUCUCUGGUCCAAUCCUGACGCUGAGGUGCGAAAGCUAGGGGAGCAAACGGG
rnacentral:rRNA from 1 species